AUUGAACGCUGGCGGCAUGCCUUACACAUGCAAGUCGAACGGUAACAGGUCUUCGGAUGCUGACGAGUGGCGAACGGGUGAGUAAUACAUCGGAACGUGCCUAGUAGUGGGGGAUAACUACUCGAAAGAGUGGCUAAUACCGCAUGAGAUCUACGGAUGAAAGCAGGGGAUCGCAAGACCUUGUGCUACUAGAGCGGCCGAUGGCAGAUUAGGUAGUUGGUGGGAUAAAAGCUUACCAAGCCGACGAUCUGUAGCUGGUCUGAGAGGACGAUCAGCCGCACGGGGACGGGGAAACGGCCCAGAAUCCUACGGGAGGCAGCAGUGGGGAAUUCUGGACAAUGGGCGCAAGCCUGAUCCAGCAAUGCCGCGUGCAGGAUGAAGGCCUUCGGGUUGUAAACUGCUUUUGUACGGAACGAAAAGCCCUGGGUUAAUACCCUGGGGUCAUGACGGUACCGUAAGAAUAAGCACCGGCUAACUACGUGCCAGCAGCCGCCGUAAUAC
rnacentral:rRNA from 1 species